rnacentral:rRNA from 1 species
AGUGAACGCUGGCGGUAGGCCUAACACAUGCAAGUCGAACGGCAGCACAGUAAGAGCUUGCUCUUACGGGUGGCGAGUGGCGGACGGGUGAGGAAUACAUCGGAAUCUACUUUUUCGUGGGGGAUAACGUAGGGAAACUUACGCUAAUACCGCAUACGACCUACGGGUGAAAGCAGGGGAUCUUCGGACCUUGCGCGAUUGAAUGAGCCGAUGUCGGAUUAGCUAGUUGGCGGGGUAAAGGCCCACCAAGGCGACGAUCCGUAGCUGGUCUGAGAGGAUGAUCAGCCACACUGGAACUGAGACACGGUCCAGACUCCUACGGGAGGCAGCAGUGGGGAAUAUUGGACAAUGGGCGCAAGCCUGAUCCAGCCAUACCGCGUGGGUGAAGAAGGCCUUCGAGUUGUAAAGCCCUUUUGUUGGGAAAGAAAAGCAGCAGGUUAAUACCCAGCUGUUCUGACGGUACCCAAAGAAUAAGCACCGGCUAACUUCGUG